GGCAACGACCUUCUAGGUCUUUUCUUGACUGCACCAGACUUGGCAACCUUCAAGGCCUGGGUAUUGACAUCACCUUGGCAGGAAGAGCUGCUCAAGAAUUAUGUACAAUAGAAGAAAUGCAUUAGUACACAUGACUUCUGCUACAAUGACUAUUUAGUGUAUAGAAAGGUAAAAUGAAAGACCACUAUGUCAGGUGGGUGAAGAUGAAAAUGAGACAAAAAUAUUUUCAGACGCCAUUAGCUCUGAAGAAUAGUUAAACAAGACAUAGUGCUUAACUAGUAAACUGAACUACAGACGCAGUUUCUUUGAUAGUAUUCUUUAAACAUGUUUGUGAGUGCACUUUGUUACUUAAUGUAUACUGUAUAUGAAGCUACAGGUUUAAAAGGAGGCCCUAUUUUGAAAUACUGAUAGGAACUAACUACUAAGUAGGAUAGGAAUCUAGGAUAACCAGUGUGUAGUUUAAUUGCCUUAUGAAUUAAGAGGAGAAUUCUUAGACGUAUAGUUGAAACUACAUUGUAAGGUGAAUGAAUCCACCAACCAUGGAAACAGGAUGUAGUUUUGUUUCUGCAUAAAUUUUAGCAGAUCUAGCUUGUAAGAAGUAACACAUGAACUGCUGUAAACUCUGACAUUCCAAUGUUGAAUAAGGGAAACCAUCUUGAACAUAUGCAGCAAUGGCGAUGGAUCAAUUGUUUAGCAGUACGUAGGUUCAUAGGUGCAGGUUUGAUCAAUGGAUUCAAAUCACCAAUUUGACAGCACAAUUAAGCAUAGGUGCAGGUUUGUGUAUAUACCGAUCCAAUAAAUCGUCAACAAAUUUAAUGGAAAUCUUAACUUAGCCUGCAGGAAGAGAUCACAGCACAGCAACCACUGCGAACAGCAGAAGGGCUUGCAGUAGCAGCAGAGCGUGAACACUUUUCAUCAAACAUUUGGUUUACAGGGGCCCUAACAGCAAAUGAAUGAAAGCAGCAACACUGACACAGUUCAUCAAACAGGCUGUGGCCUGUGGGUAACCGGGAAGUCAAUUAGAAUCCUUUGAGUGAAGCACGAGGUCGCCGACGGCGACGAGGCCGUAGGCAUCGCUGCCGGCGCAGGGCAGCACGGAGGGCUGACACCGGAAGGUGAUUGCGUCGCGCCCGCCAGCCGUCGGGCCAGCAGAUCCUGCGGCCAUGGAGCGAGAUCCCCAACACUGGCGACGGCGUGCGGAUCUCUGGCUCCCCUGCGCUGCCUCUCGCCUCCGACUCACGCCUCGCUACCUCCCCAGUGCGACGCCUCUCGCCUCCGCGCGAACCGUGUGCCGGCGGACGGGAUCCACCGCUCGCAGUAAUAGCUCGCCGCAGCACCUUUCGGCACCUCGUGCCGCUCCGAUUAGCGAGGAUCCGGCCCUUGGCACGAGGCGAACAGCCGGUGUAGAGUGUAGCGGAAGAUCGCCUCCCCCCUUCCCCUCCCUCACCCUACCCACCACGCGCCCGCCGGCGCGGUCGAGGCGAGGAGGAUGGCAGCCACGGCGGGGGAGGACGGGGGCAGGGAGGGCAGAUCAGAUCCCGUCCCUGCCGCAGUGCCGCUGCGAGCGGCGGCGCUUUAGAAUGAGUUGACAAGCAGGAUGAGUUGCCCGGUUAUUAUGGGAUAAGCAUAUCGAACCUAUAGUUGGAUAGAUUAAAUAGACUCUACAGUUGAAGUCAUUUCAGUAGUGCAGUGGUUUUUCCCGCGAGCUGGAGGUUGGCUGGU
rnacentral:lncRNA from 1 species